rnacentral:rRNA from 1 species
UACAGAGGUCCCAAGCGUUGUUCGGAUUUAUUGGGCGUAAAGGGUGCGUAGGCGGCAGGGUAAGUUAGGCGUGAAAUGCUGAGGCUCAACCUCAGAAUUGCAUUCAAUACUGCUUAGCUAGAGAGCUGUAGAGGAGACUGGAAUUUACGGUGUAGCAGUGAAAUGCGUAGAUAUCGUAAGGAACGCCAGUGGCGAAAGCGAGUCUCUGGGCAGCAUCUGACACUGAGGCACGAAGGCCAGGGGAGCAAACGGG